rnacentral:tRNA from 1 species
GGGGGUGUCAUAAGACCUGCUAAUUCUUUAAUCUGGAAUAAACACCAGCUCCC